UACAGAGGGUGCAAGCGUUGUUCGGAAUUAUUGGGCGUAAAGGGCGCGUAGGCGGUGCGGUAAGUCUGCAGUGAAAUCUCUGGGCUCAACUCAGAGUCUGCUGUAGAAACUGCCGUGCUUGAGUGUGGGAGAGGUGAGUGGAAUUCCCGGUGUAGCGGUGAAAUGCGCAGAUAUCGGGAAGAACACCCGUGGCGAAGGCGGCUCUCUGGGACGGUACUGACGCUGAGACGCGAAUGCAUGGGGAGCGAACGGG
rnacentral:rRNA from 1 species